rnacentral:rRNA from 1 species
CAGUCGUACGCUUCUUUUUCACCGGAGCUUGCUCCACCGGAAAAAGAAGAGUGGCGAACGGGUGAGUAACACGUGGGUAACCUGCCCAUCAGAAGGGGAUAACACUUGGAAACAGGUGCUAAUACCGUAUAACAAUCGAAACCGCAUGGUUUUGAUUUGAAAGGCGCUUUCGGGUGUCGCUGAUGGAUGGACCCGCGGUGCAUUAGCUAGUUGGUGAGGUAACGGCUCACCAAGGCCACGAUGCAUAGCCGACCUGAGAGGGUGAUCGGCCACAUUGGGACUGAGACACGGCCCAAACUCCUACGGGAGGCAGCAGUAGGGAAUCUUCGGCAAUGGACGAAAGUCUGACCGAGCAACGCCGCGUGAGUGAAGAAGGUUUUCGGAUCGUAAAACUCUGUUGUUAGAGAAGAACAAGGAUGAGAGUAACUGUUCAUCCCUUGACGGUAUCUAACCAGAAAGCCACGGCUAACUACGUGCCAGCAGCCGCGGUAAUACGUAGGUGGCAAGCGUUGUCCGGAUUUAUUGGGCGUAAAGCGAGCGCAGGCGGUUUCUUAAGUCUGAUGUGAAAGCCCCCGGCUCAACCGGGGAGGGUCAUUGGAAACUGGGAGACUUGAGUGCAGAAGAGGAGAGUGGAAUUCCAUGUGUAGCGGUGAAAUGCGUAGAUAUAUGGAGGAACACCAGUGGCGAAGGCGGCUCUCUGGUCUGUAACUGACGCUGAGGCUCGAAAGCGUGGGGAGCAAACAGGAUUAGAUACCCUGGUAGUCCACGCCGUAAACGAUGAGUGCUAAGUGUUGGAGGGUUUCCGCCCUUCAGUGCUGCAGCUAACGCAUUAAGCACUCCGCCUGGGGAGUACGACCGCAAGGUUGAAACUCAAAGGAAUUGACGGGGGCCCGCACAAGCGGUGGAGCAUGUGGUUUAAUUCGAAGCAACGCGAAGAACCUUACCAGGUCUUGACAUCCUUUGACCACUCUAGAGAUAGAGCUUCCCCUUCGGGGGCAAAGUGACAGGUGGUGCAUGGUUGUCGUCAGCUCGUGUCGUGAGAUGUUGGGUUAAGUCCCGCAACGAGCGCAACCCUUAUUGUUAGUUGCCAUCAUUCAGUUGGGCACUCUAGCAAGACUGCCGGUGACAAACCGGAGGAAGGUGGGGAUGACGUCAAAUCAUCAUGCCCCUUAUGACCUGGGCUACACACGUGCUACAAUGGGAAGUACAACGAGUCGCGAAGUCGCGAGGCUAAGCUAAUCUCUUAAAGCUUCUCUCAGUUCGGAUUGUAGGCUGCAACUCGCCUACAUGAAGCCGGAAUCGCUAGUAAUCGCGGAUCAGCACGCCGCGGUGAAUACGUUCCCGGGCCUUGUACACACCGCCCGUCACACCACGAGAGUUUUAACACCCGAAGUCGGUGAGGUAACCUU